rnacentral:rRNA from 1 species
ACUUAAAGGAAUUGGCGGGGGGAGCACUACAACGGGGUGGAGCCUGCGGUUUAAUUGGAUUCAACGCCGGAAAUCUUACCGGGGGAGACAGCAGCAUGAAGGUCAGGCUGAAGACCUUACCAGAUCCGCUGAGAGGAAGUGCAUGGCCGUCGUCAGUUCGUACUGUGAAGCAUCCUGUUAAGUCAGGCAACGAGCGAGACCCGUGCCCACAGUUGCCAGCAUACCCUUCGGGGUGAUGGGUACUUUGUGGGGACCGCCGCUGCUAAAGCGGAGGAAGGAGCGGGUUACGGUAGGUCAGUAUGCUCCGGAACUCCCGGGCUACACGCGGGCUACAAUGGUUGGGACAAUGGGAAUCAACACCGAAAGGUGAAGGCAAUCUCCUAAACCCAUUCGAAGUUCGGAUUGAGGGCUGCAACUCGCCCUCAUGAAGCUGGAAUCCGUAGUAAUCGCGUUUCAACACAGCGCGGUGAAUACGUCCCUGCUCCUUGCACACACCGCCCGUAAUCACUAGUG